rnacentral:piRNA from 1 species
UGAUGACCGUACAGGUGGCCGAACCUGGGA